AAAUUGAAGAGUUUGAUCAUGGCUCAGAUUGAACGCUGGCGGCAGGCCUAACACAUGCAAGUCGAACGGUAACAGGAAAAAGCUUGCUUUUUUGCUGACGAGUGGCGGACGGGUGAGUAAUGUCUGGGAAACUGCCUGAUGGAGGGGGAUAACUACUGGAAACGGUAGCUAAUACCGCAUAACGUCGCAAGACCAAAGAGGGGGACCUUCGGGCCUCUUGCCAUCGGAUGUGCCCAGAUGGGAUUAGCUAGUAGGUGGGGUAACGGCUCACCUAGGCGACGAUCCCUAGCUGGUCUGAGAGGAUGACCAGCCACACUGGAACUGAGACACGGUCCAGACUCCUACGGGAGGCAGCAGUGGGGAAUAUUGCACAAUGGGCGCAAGCCUGAUGCAGCCAUGCCGCGUGUAUGAAGAAGGCCUUCGGGUUGUAAAGUACUUUCAGCGGGGAGGAAGGGAGUAAAGUUAAUACCUUUGCUCAUUGACGUUACCCGCAGAAGAAGCACCGGCUAACUCCGUGCCAGCAGCCGCGGUAAUACGGAGGGUGCAAGCGUUAAUCGGAAUUACUGGGCGUAAAGCGCACGCAGGCGGUUUGUUAAGUCAGAUGUGAAAUCCCCGGGCUCAACCUGGGAACUGCAUCUGAUACUGGCAAGCUUGAGUCUCGUAGAGGGGGGUAGAAUUCCAGGUGUAGCGGUGAAAUGCGUAGAGAUCUGGAGGAAUACCGGUGGCGAAGGCGGCCCCCUGGACGAAGACUGACGCUCAGGUGCGAAAGCGUGGGGAGCAAACAGGAUUAGAUACCCUGGUAGUCCACGCCGUAAACGAUGUCGACUUGGAGGUUGUGCCCUUGAGGCGUGGCUUCCGGAGCUAACGCGUUAAGUCGACCGCCUGGGGAGUACGGCCGCAAGGUUAAAACUCAAAUGAAUUGACGGGGGCCCGCACAAGCGGUGGAGCAUGUGGUUUAAUUCGAUGCAACGCGAAGAACCUUACCUGGUCUUGACAUCCACGGAAGUUUUCAGAGAUGAGAAUGUGCCUUCGGGAACCGUGAGACAGGUGCUGCAUGGCUGUCGUCAGCUCGUGUUGUGAAAUGUUGGGUUAAGUCCCGCAACGAGCGCAACCCUUAUCCUUUGUUGCCAGCGGUCCGGCCGGGAACUCAAAGGAGACUGCCAGUGAUAAACUGGAGGAAGGUGGGGAUGACGUCAAGUCAUCAUGGCCCUUACGACCAGGGCUACACACGUGCUACAAUGGCGCAUACAAAGAGAAGCGACCUCGCGAGAGCAAGCGGACCUCAUAAAGUGCGUCGUAGUCCGGAUUGGAGUCUGCAACUCGACUCCAUGAAGUCGGAAUCGCUAGUAAUCGUGGAUCAGAAUGCCACGGUGAAUACGUUCCCGGGCCUUGUACACACCGCCCGUCACACCAUGGGAGUGGGUUGCAAAAGAAGUAGGUAGCUUAACCUUCGGGAGGGCGCUUACCACUUUGUGAUUCAUGACUGGGGUGAAGUCGUAACAAGGUAACCGUAGGGGAACCUGCGGUUGGAUCACCUCCUUACCUUAAAGAAGC
rnacentral:rRNA from 2 species